rnacentral:rRNA from 1 species
GUGUCAGCCGCCGCGGUAAAACGUAGGACGCAAGCGUUAUCCGGAGUUACUGGGCGUAAAGGGCGUGUAGGCGGCACUUCAAGUGGCUCGUGAAAGACUUCGGCUCAACCGGGGGUGGACGGGUCAGACUGAGGAGCUGGAGGAUGUCAGAAGGACACGGAAUUCCGGGUGUAGUGGUGAAAUGCGUAGAGAUCCGGAGGAACACCAGUGGCGCAGGCGGUGUCCUGGGGCGUACCUGACGCUGAGACGCGAAAGCAUGGGGAGCGAACGGGAUUAGAUACCCGCGUAGUCC